rfam:Solanum tuberosum cultivar DM 1-3 516 R44 scf00300_5, whole genome shotgun sequence.
AUACCUUUCUCGGCCUUUUGGCUAAGAUCAAGUGUAGUAUCUGUUCUUAUCAGUUUAAUAUUUGAUAUGUGAGUCAUUGACUCACACGAUAUUAACUCUAUUUUUUUAGGGGAAGGUCCAUCACGGUAGCUUGCUAUCGGGAUCUUCAAUCAUCGCCAUGGUGUUGCACUAUAACCUUGGCCUGGUGCACCCCAC